rnacentral:lncRNA from 1 species
AAUUCAUAAAUUAAAUUGCUUGCUGUAUGGACGUUAAUCCCGCACCAUACCUUAAAUAAAAUUAAAUGUGCGGUAAAUUAAAUGUGCUUGUAUGGGCACUAAUUCUGCUCCAUACAUUUAAAUAAAAGUAAAGGCGUGGACGAUAAACCCGCACCACCCUUUAAAUAAAUGUAAAUGUGCGGUAAAUUAAAUUCAUAAAUUAAAUUGCUUGCUGUAUGGACGUUAAUCCCGCACCAUACCUUAAAUAAAAUUAAAUGUGCGGUAAAUUAAAUUCAUAAAGUAAACGUGCGUAUAUGGGCACUAAUUCUGCUCCAUACUUUUAAAUGAAAGUAAAGGCGUGGACGAUAAACCCGCACCAACCUUUUAAAUAAAUACUGUUGUAUGGGUAAUAAACCUACACCAUACAGUAAAUAUAAUAUAUUAUAUUACCAUUAAUAUUAAUAUUAAAUAAUAUAGGAU